GCCAGGCACAGUGGUGCAUGCCUGUAGUCCCAGUUACUCGGGAGGAUGAGGUGGGAGGAUUGCUUGAGCCCAGAAGUUCUGGGCUGUAGCGCACUAUACCAAUUGGGUGUCUGUGCUAAGUUUGGCAUUGAUAUAGUGACCUUCUGGAAGCAUCGAACCGCUGAGUUGCCUAAGGAGGGGUGAAUUGGCUUAGGUCAGAAACAGAGCAGGUGGAAACUGUUGAUCAGUAGUGCAAUUUCACCUGUGCAUAGCUGCUGCACUCCAGCCUGGGCAACAUAGCAAGACCCUAUCGCU
ensembl:misc_RNA Metazoa_SRP Metazoan signal recognition particle RNA